AAAUAAUGACCACUCCCCAAGAGGUGUCAGGGCGUCCUUUACCCAGUGAGGUGAAGGGAAUUCAGGGCUGUUUUUAUGAAAAUGAACCUAGACUUAUCCCCAACUCUCUCUUCCCCGACACCAGGCCCCAGUCAGCACCUGGCUGGGGACAGAACACGGUGGGGCGGUCAUCCUGGGGCUUGCCCCACUUUGUGCUGCCAGGAAACUCCAGCUGGCUCCCAUCAGCUAUACGCUGGUGGCUGGCAAGAUAGAAGGAAGCAAGCUGUAGAUAGUCCGCCAGUUACCAGGCUUGAAGUAGAGGCUAAGGGAAACCAGCUGGUACUGGGUUAGAGACAAUUGUUUGCCAUCUUAUAAGCAAGUGUUGGGGGUGGGGUGGGCAGAUUAUUUCUUAACAGAUUGAAAAACAGGGCAUGCAUGGUAUUUCGGUCCUCCUUUGGCCUUGCUGAUGGUUCUUGAGGACUGGUUGACCUGGUUCUUUUAAGGGGACUUUGAAAUGUAGAUAAGGACACAGUAGUGGAACAGAUGGAUGCCCUUCCUACCCGUUGCCUACCCAUUAUUCUUGAUGCCAUCUUUUGUUUAUGAACUGUGAGGCCUAUAACAAAUGUCUUUAGGGAAAAUAAAUGGAGCCAGGAGACUCCUCACUAAGGCCUUAGCAAGACACACCACAGUCCAGACGGGGCUUCUGCUUGGGAUUUCUAAAUGGUAUGAAUCUGAGAAGGAAAACAAAGUUAUCGCUGUUCCCAUGAGCCUUCAUAUCAGAGAUGUUUAUGUCCUGGGUCUGCACACAGAGAGAUGUGGUCAUUUUUUCCCACCAACAUGAGGGCGUCAGGUGGCCUUGGUUUGCUCUCACAUUUCCUCCCUUUUAUUUUUCUAGAAAGAAAAUGAUGACAAUUAAUCACCUCCCAAUUUCUGGGCACUGUACUAGGCAUAUUUUCCAAAGUUGUCUCCCUUCAUUUGCAUUAAAACAUUUCAGGAGAGAUGAUUAUUCCUUUUAUAUACAUGAGAAGAUGGAGAUUUGGAAAAGUAGAAUAAAUUUACUGAGCCCUCUCAGCUAAGAGACUGAGUCAGAAUUUGAGCCCAAGGUGUCUGGCUCCUAACCUUGUGUGUUCUUCCUAUCCAGGGUCCACGGAGAACAAGAAUGCUGGAACAAAUUACAGGGUGACUCGACUGUAUUGCUUAACAGUAGUUAGGCAUGCUGAGGUAUGUCUCCUCCAAGUGGAAGACUCAUUUUGCUUCCUGGAUCUCUGAAGACAGAUGUUCGGAUGAAGAUAGGAUACAGUGACUAAUAAGCACCGUGUGGCUCUGAGAUCAUCGAGAAAGACACUGACAAUCGGCAGCGUGGGAAGUGAGACUUCAGUGCUCUUGAAAGGCCUCUGAUGGGCGUGGUGAGAAGUGACAAGGUCUUGGUGGUUGAAAAUGAGGGAACAGAGUGGAUUCAAGGAAGAAUUGAGAGACUGAAUCAACAAGAUGAUGACUGCUUGAUGGGAGAUGAUGAGGGAAAGGAAGAAUGACUUAGAAGUCACCAGCCUGCACAGCUAAGGAAUGAAGGAUCCAUUAACCAUGGAUGCUGGCUAGCUCUGUGGGAGUUAGUCACCAUGUAGGAAGUCUGGCCCCCCAGAGCCCACCUGCUGGAGAGGCCAUGCGUGAACAAUGCCAGAGACGGCCCAAGCUGUGCUCCCAGCCGACCACCCAGCACCAACUGCCAGCCACAGAAGUGAGCCAACAUGACAUCUGGCCCCGUCACGCCUUCAGAUGACCACAGUCCCAGCCAGCAUCUAACUCCAGCGGGGUGAGAGAUCCCAAUUUCCUGACUCAUAAAAUCACAAGCAAAACCACUAUGUUUUGGGAUUAAUUUGUUAUACAGCAAUAGUAACUGAAAUACUGAUCAAAUAUAAGAACCAAAAUUAAGGAUAUGCAGAACAAUAAAAUUGCUUUGCACUUUUUUGAACACAUGAGUAUUUUAUCUGAAAAAGUCAUUAAUCUCUUUGGAUA